rnacentral:lncRNA from 1 species
GCCUGAGCUCUUUGGCUUUCUUCCUCAGCUUCUCAUUCUCAAGCAUGAUGCGGCAGUUCUCCCAGAAGAGAUUAGCAUUUUCUUUUUCCAUGAUGAACUGAUAAAGGUAUGUGCAGAACAAUAAUAGUUAAAGAGCAAAUUAGAUAGAAGGGGCUAAAAAAAGAAAAAGGUAAAAGGAAAAUUCUUGUAAUAGGGGAAGAAAGCAGAGAAGUGAAAGUUUUUAUUGCUAAUCAGAUGCAUAUGUUCUUUAUUUCUGUCAAAAUUUUACGUGUAGAAAAUAUUGAAAAUCUAUAUGUUUCACAGGUUGAAGACUACAGUGAGAUAACGGCACAACAUGAUUCAGUCUCUAUCAGAUAACUUGGUGAGUAAUGCAAUGAAACAGUUAAAUAUCUGCCAGAAAAUGCUAUGGGAAGAAAAUGGAUAGAAUGAAUGUGUCGCAUCCUUUGCUCUUUUUGUUAUCAACAAAAUGCUGAAGUAAGAGGAGGAGGCAAUGAUUACUACUCUUUAUCAGCACAUAUGAUAAAAUAACAUGGCAAGAAAUGUACAGUGAUGACAUUUUCUGGGAAGUUGGGUUCCAAGGGGAACAACUUCUUACCGUGUAUUUGAGCUAGAUUGCAGUGGAUGAGGUGGUGUUAAAGGUAAUUAUGCUUUAUAUGAUCUUGGACAUCGUAAUGAGGAGGCUUGGUACAAAUUUGCGUUGGUAGCUCAUCAUAUCCCUCUAUUUAUACCAAAUGGAAUGCAAAAAACUUCAAGAAGAUCCAUCUCUCGCAAAACAACAGUCACCUACCUGUAAAGCCCCAGUUUUGCACUUUUGAUGCAAGGGGAAUGUGUUAGGAUGGACAUUAGUCGUGACAUCAAAUUGAGGAAUAAUUAUAUGUUUUUUCAUAUCUGGAAGAUAUUCUGCUUUAAAUAGCAUCACACGUGAGACUUGCAUUUAGGCAAUGAUUGUGAACUCCUGAGAAGAGCAAAUUCGGGGAAAGAAACAAAAAGACACUUGGGACGUAGUUGGGCAGGCAAGAAAUUAUUGUUAGAAUGAACGAUGGAAAACGGCAAAUUCUGCUGUUUUUGGGCGGAAGAAAAACAUGUAGAAGCAAGGAGUUGAGGGCAGGGGACAGCUGAAGAGAGCAUCUUUUUGUGUUUGGGGGUAAUUCAUGAAAUAAAGCCGAGGGCAAAGUGGGCUGGAGUUGAUGAGAAUUAUGUCCACAAGCGACCAAAUUAGUCACGCUUUCUCGGCCAUUAUCACGCCAUUUUUGCCGAGGUGCCAAGAAUUAAGAGAGAAGCCAAAACGGGUAAAUUCAGAUCCCAUGGGCUGAAUUAUCUUUAAUGCGAAUGGAUUUAAAAAAUCUUUAUCUUAUGACCGACCCAUAGCAAUUACGCACAUAUUUUUAAUCUUUUUUUUUUUAAUUUUCUUUCGCAUACGUCACAACACAAAAAGUGCUGUAAUAAUUAUUUUAAAUAAACUCCUAUCC